GCAGUGCUCCGGCUCUAUCGCUGGUGUGACACUCACACGAGAGGAAAGUCCGGGCAGCGUAGGGUACCCCACUUGCGAAAAUACAAGUAGUCAGUGAUGAUUAGCUUCAGGCAGAAGAAAAUAACCGCCCAUUUUUGGAGGUAAGGGUGAGAAGGUGGUGUAAGAGACCACCAGGCACUUGGUGACAGGUGUGCUGUGCCGACUGGGGGCUGCAAGUUCAAGUAAACCAUCGUCAUGAUAGGGCGACCCGCCCGAAAGUUUUGCUUACGAUGGAGGGUAGAAUGCUAGAGCCGUAUGGUGACAUACGGAGUAGAUAAAUGAUAGAGCACCAUCUCACAGAUGGCUACAGAACCCGGCUUAUAGGAGCACUGCUUUU
rnacentral:RNase_P_RNA from 1 species